GCCGAAGUGGUGGAAGCUGGUAGACACGCCAUCUUGAGGGGGUGGUGGGCGUAAGCCUGUGAGAGUUCAAAUCUCUCCUUCGGCACCA
rnacentral:tRNA from 1 species